rnacentral:rRNA from 1 species
AUUGAACGCUGGCGGAAUGCUUUACACAUGCAAGUCGAACGGCAGCACGGGGCAACCUGGUGGCGAGUGGCGAACGGGUGAGUAAUAUAUCGGAACGUGCCCAAUCGUGGGGGAUAACGUAGCGAAAGUUACGCUAAUACCGCAUACGAUCUACGGAUGAAAGCGGGGGAUCGCAAGACCUCGCGCGAAUGGAGCGGCCGAUAUCAGAUUAGGUAGUUGGUGGGGUAAAGGCUCACCAAGCCAACGAUCUGUAGCUGGUCUGAGAGGACGACCAGCCACACUGGAACUGAGACACGGUCCAGACUCCUACGGGAGGCAGCAGUGGGGAAUUUUGGACAAUGGGCGCAAGCCUGAUCCAGCCAUUCCGCGUGCAGGAUGAAGGCCUUCGGUUG